UCGUUUGCAGCAGGUGUCGGCGGUAAGACGAAGGUUGCUGGGGUUGUUCGGAAGUACUGGGCUUAAGGUGGGCUGAGGCGGUUCGUUAAGUUGGUGGUGAAAGCCCAGGGCUCAACCCUGGAAUGGCCUUCAAGACUGGCGACCUUGAGUAUGGCAGAGGUGUGUGGAACUCCGAGUGUAGAGGUGAAAUUCGUAGAUAUUCGGAAGAACACCAGUGGCGAAGGCGACACACUGGGCCAUUACUGACGCUGAGGCGCGAAAGCGUGGGGAGCAAACAGGAUUAGAUACCCGUGUAGUC
rnacentral:rRNA from 1 species